CUUUUGACUCAAUUCACAGAGCACUCCAUGAAGAUGAACAAUUAACCCUAGCUAACCAUAACUCUCCCUGUCUUCAUUAUGCCUCACUGUACCCUAACUCUCUCUUCAUUGUGCCUCACUGUACCCUAACCACGACGAAGAGCCCCUAACAGCACUCUGCAAGAACGUCGCCGGUCGCCGGCGCUCGCAAUGCCUCCGUCGAAGAACCCCUAACCGCGAUGAAGAACCCCUAACCCUCCUUUGGGUUUCUUCGCUCUUCUCUCGCCACUCUCACCCUCAAGCUCACUGAGUCUCACCUCUCUCGCGGCUGGUCUCACCGUCGACCUCUCUCUAGCUCUCCGGUAUAUCGCUUCUCUCGCGGGCGUUUCAGACUCAAGGUCGUCGCGCUCUGUUUCCGUCGCUGCUCUGUCACCGUCGCUGCUCUAUCGCGCUCUGUCGCAAGCGAAUCGGUGGAAUUCGAACCGAUCCCAAUCGGUUCCUGCUCCAAAGAGAACCAGAGCAUCUACCAGCAGUUGUUUAAAUUACGCCGAUUUAGCAAAGCAUUGCCGUAUGGAGUUACUCAUGCAUCAAAGGCUCUAGAACCUGCUACUCUUGUUCCUCUUCAGCUUUUAAAGUCAAGUGGAACCAAAUGCAUAAUGGUUGGUGACCCAAAGCAACUUUCUGCAACUGUCCUCUCAAAUGUUGCGAGUAAAUAUCUUUACGAGUGCAGCAUGUUUGAACGUUUACAAAGGGCAGGGCAUCCUGUUAUCAUGCUUACUAAGCAGAGAACUACUUUGCUUGGCUUCUCAAAGUCUUGCGCCUCUGUUCUAACAUUGACCUUCUUCUAUUCUGUUUCCUUCUUGUUCUGACUGUUAUUUUUUCUAUUUCUGGAAGCUCCCCAUGUCGCCAAAAUCCUGAGAUGUUUGUAUUGUUGGUGUUGCAAGGACUCCAAUGGGGGAUCUACUUGGCAACCUAUCAUCUCUAUCAGCAACACAACUAGGCUCAAUUGUUAUCAACUAGGCUCAAUUGUUGCAGCUACCAUGCUUGCAGUACAUUGUAGAAGCAAGGUUGAAGUUUCUGGUGGAAGAGGGAAACCCUCUAGAAUAGUUGAUAAAGAUGAAGGAUUGGGGAAGGUAAGCAGAUCACAGUAUGUAAUUACAUGUGUUAACUUAUCUCUAUAGGACAUAGUGGUAGAUAUUAGGAUUACAUUGUAAUGCCAUGUGUAUGCGCAUCUAUAGUAUAAUGUACUAACCAGAGUUGCUGAUAAAGGAGAGUUUAUUAGAAUUUAGAGUUUCUUUUACUUUACUAUUUUUUCCCCUUUUUUC